rnacentral:rRNA from 1 species
GGGAACCCUGAUCCAGCCAUGCCGCGUGUGUGAAGAAGGCCUUUUGGUUGUAAAGCACUUUAAGCAGUGAAGAAGACUCUUCGGUUAAUACCCGGAGACGAUGACAUUAGCUGCAGAAUAAGCACCGGCUAACUCUGUGCCAGCAGCCGCGGUAAUACAGAGGGUGCAAGCGUUAAUCGGAAUUACUGGGCGUAAAGCGAGCGUAGGUGGCUUGAUAAGUCAGAUGUGAAAUCCCCGGGCUUAACCUGGGAACUGCAUCUGAAACUGUUAGGCUAGAGUAGGUGAGAGGGAAGUAGAAUUUCAGGUGUAGCGGUGAAAUGCGUAGAGAUCUGAAGGAAUACCGAUGGCGAAGGCAGCUUCCUGGCAUCAUACUGACACUGAGGCUCGAAAGCGUGGGUAGCAAACAGGAUUAGAUACCCUGGUAGUCCACGCCGUAAACGAUGUCUACUAGUCGUUGGGUCCCUUGAGGACUUAGUGACGCAGCUAACGCAAUAAGUAGACCGCCUGGGGAGUACGGCCGCAAGGUUAAAACUCAAAUGAAUUGACGGGGGCCCGCACAAGCGGUGGAGCAUGUGGUUUAAUUCGAUGCAACGCGAAGAACCUUACCUGGUCUUGACAUAUCUAGAAUCCUGCAGAGAUGCGGGAGUGCCUUCGGGAAUUAGAAUACAGGUGCUGCAUGGCUGUCGUCAGCUCGUGUCGUGAGAUGUUGGGUUAAGUCCCGCAACGAGCGCAACCCUUGUCCUUAGUUACCAGCGGGUUACGCCG